AUUGAACGCUGGCGGCAGGCCUAACACAUGCAAGUCGAGCGGAUGAGUGGAGCUUGCUCCAUGAUUCAGCGGCGGACGGGUGAGUAAUGCCUAGGAAUCUGCCUGGUAGUGGGGGACAACGUUUCGAAAGGAACGCUAAUACCGCAUACGUCCUACGGGAGAAAGCGGGGGAUCUUCGGACCUCACGCUAUCAGAUGAGCCUAGGUCGGAUUAGCUAGUUGGUGAGGUAAAGGCUCACCAAGGCGACGAUCCGUAACUGGUCUGAGAGGAUGAUCAGUCAAACUGGAACUGAGACACGGUCCAGACUCCCACGGGAGGCAGCAGUGGGGAAUAUUGGACAAUGGGCGAAAGCCUGAUCCAGCCAUGCCGCGUGUGUGAAGAAGGUCUUCGGAUGUAAAGCACUUUAAGUUGGGAGGAAGGGCAGUAAGUUAAUACCUUGCUGUUUUGACGUUACCAACAGAAUAAGCACCGGCUAACUUCGUGCCAGCCGCCGCUGUAAUAC
rnacentral:rRNA from 1 species